rnacentral:rRNA from 1 species
UACGAAGGGGGCUAGCGUUACUCGGAUUGACUGGGCGUAAAGGGCGCGUAGGCGGCUUGUACAGUCAGACGUGAAAUUCCUGGGCCCAACCUGGGGGCUGCGUUUGAUACGUGCGGGCUUGAGUUCGGAAGAGGGUCGUGGAAUUCCCAGUGUAGAGGUGAAAUUCGUAGAUAUCAAGCGGAACACCGGUGGCGAAGGCGGCUCACGUGCCGA